GGGUCACUUUAUUGUAAAACAGAACUUGUUGAAACAUUGUAAAUCAACUACACUUUAAUAAUAAUAGUAAAAAUAAAAAUAAAAUGUAAAAUCUGGAGGAGAAAAAAAGGCAGUACUGAAGUUAUGUAGAACUUGACUUUGAAUACUGUGGAUUUCCACACAUUGCUUAGAUGGCUUUCAUCUGAGUUGUCUCAUUUAAAGCUCAUUUGAGAAUAGCCGUUGCCUGAUUUUUUAAAGGAAUAGUUCUUAUGAACCUUGAUUAUGGUUCAAACAGCAUGUUUCUGGGCAGAAAAGUAGAGAUUUUGCAUGUUUUAUUCUAUCUUGUCUUAAAUUGUGUUAUGCUGGAGUACUUACAUACCUUUCCAAUCCUGGCAAGAGUCUAACUAGAAAAUUAAGACCAUGUGGAUUGAUAAUCCCACUCCUGACCCAUAGGCAAAUUAUUUUUGUAUUCCAGAUUUCUAAUCUGUAACAUUAGACAAUAAUAGUACCUACCUCAGACGGUUGUUGGGAAGAUUAACUAUCAUGAUAUAGUGUAAUGUGCUCAAUAAAUGUGAGCUAAGUUGAUGAUGAAAGCACUUUUUCUCCAUCCAUAAAUACUGGGUCCAUAACAAUCUUUUUAGGGAGUUUGUGUGGUUUGUAUGAGAUUAUAUUUGUGAUAUUACUGAGCACAGUAUCUUGUUUGCAGCAAAUUUUAAAAUAUAUAUAUAAACCUCUCUCCUCCAUAUAAAGACUUUUUAAACACUUCCUCAACUGCUUUUCAGACUAUGCAUUUCUUUGCUGACAUCAGGUAAGUAGUCUACCCCUAUCCAUUUACUGACUGGUGAGAUUACAUGUGGUUAAACAAAACUGGUAAUCGUUGAAUUACUCAUUCCAUGAGGUCUCUGAUUUCCUUUUAGCAGCUCAUUGCCUUCAGAAGGAUGGAUUCAGUGCUGAGGACCAGGAAUAGGUAGCAGAUUAUGAAAUGAAUAGUAUAUUGUGAUUUUCAAUUUUACAUCCUUUGAUUUAUUUAAUGUGCCCAUAAAGAAGCUGUAACAUUAAUGUAGAGCCAUGCUCAAAUAAUAAAACUGAUCAUGAUCUCUAAUUUGCUUCAAUAGUUUUCUGGAAGAAAAUGUGUAAUUUCAUGAAUUUAUAAAUGAUGCUAAAUUUUACUCUCAAAAACUUAGACAGCUUUAAAUGGUUUUACAAAUAAAUUCAUGAAUGUUAAACUAUUCUAAGGAAAGCUUCAACUCACUGUGAUUAUUAGAGAUACAGAUAACAAGCUGUACGGUCAGGCCACUCAAAAUGGCCAUCCCCUUGCUCUCUCUGUACAUCCCCUGCUUGGUCAGCCUCUGCUUCACUCACAGGACAAUCCAGUCUUCUUAAUUAUAGGACUUAGCCCUGGUAAUUGAUGAGCUCACCUGACACCAAUUCCCCCUAUAAAUGGUAACCUCCUUCUCCCCUGAUUUAUGAGGACUUCUGCCAUGUCCUGCCCUCACCCCCCAGUCUGCCACACAGGUGGGGUGUUGCUCCAGGGCCCUUUGAGUAAGGUCCCCUGGCCAAUAAAGUGCAGAUGUCUCUGUCACUGUCUUCAGGCUCUUUAUUCGGUCUUGAGGCUGGGCAGCUACAAGGCUUACAGGUCUUCAGGGUGUAGUCCAACCCAAGCACUGUUUCUGUGCCAGCCUCUUUUUUGAGCACAUACAGAAUCCUAAAAUAAAUAUUCCAGGGCCAUUGACAAUGGCUAUUCCUCAAAUAUAUUCCAGAAAGGCAACUUCCCAAAUUGAUCUGGAAGAAUGGUAUUUUCUGAUGGAUGAAAGGAUAAGAGGUACAAUUUCUCUCAGUUGUGAUUUCACAAAGAAAAUUUUGCUCUAAAGUCACAUAUCUUUUAUCUUUGAACAUAUAUAUAUGGCAUUUAGAGUUUGGCAUUCAAUUUCUUUCUUAUAUUUAAAUAUACUAAUAAAAUAAAGGUUCCACAUUCCCUACCAAACCAAUACAACAUAGCAAUGCCAACCAAAAAUUUCUAAGAAAAUGCUAAAACUAUACUAUUCUUCCUAUGUUAUAUACAAGCAUUAAAAUAUGAGCACAUGGUUUAAAUUCUUAAUAUAAACUUUUCUUAUAGAAACUUAUGUAACAAUGCUCUUGAGUUUUAAAAUACUGGAUGUCUGACAUUUGAAGAAUCAUUCUCUGAGUUAGCAUCCGUUAUUUACAGGGCAAUGGGAUAAGUUCUAGAAUUUCACUAAAGGCCACAUCCAAGCAUAUAUUUACAUUAACUCUGCAGUUUAUUCUCUGGCAAGUAUAAUUUUAAUGAUGCUAAUUUUCUCAUGUUUCUCAUCUUAUUCUCCAGUCAUUUAUCAAGUCUCUGGAUGACGUGUUCUCUGGCAGAAAAAAGAAAAUAAAGGAGAAAAUUUAUGAAAUACAAUUAUUAAGGCUAGACCUAGGGAUAGGAUGUUUAUUUAAAGGGCCAGAGGUAGAGAUGAGGUUAAAAAAACAGAAACAGAGGUCAGGGAGGAAAAAUGCAAUUGAGUAUUUUUUCCUUUUUGAUGUUUAUUUUAUGUAAUUUAUAAUUGUGAAGUAUAGCUUAAUAGGUGCAUUUGAGGGAAGUGAGAUACAGUGAGACAGCAAUGACCCAAAUGGUCCUAUGUGAGUAUGUGUGAUUGUAUACACAUCUGUACAUAACAAAGCCAGCUGACCUGUCAUGAUGGUAUUACCCCUUCCUUGGACUACUUUUAUGUACCACAUUUAUUCUUUACUGAAUAAAAUAGAAUAUAUUUUUCCCUAAAAGUUUGAUCAAUAUAGAACUACAUAUGUUACCUAUUAUACUUAGAAAAUUACAUGGGGAAACUUGAUGGAAAAAAAUCAAGUAUUGAGGCCAUGUGUCAAGUUUAACUCAACUUCUGGUUUGAGUUAAAGAGAAUGAAGCAAUUUAUUCAAAUAAGACCAUUGGUAGAUUAUACAAAUCCAAUAUAAUAUCUGGAAACUCUAGGUCUUUUAGUAACUACUUUUAUGUAAUAGACAGUGAUUAAAUGGGUGACUGAUAUUUCACACUAUGGAUACCUUCAGAUUUUGUGUUAUGCUAUGUCUGGAGAACUUAAUUAACAAUCUACAUCUUGCCUUUUACCUCUGGUCCAGCCAGUAGAAUGUAUCCAUGAGAGGACCAAUUGAAUAACAACAGGCUCAAGCAAAGCUGGUCUACCUAGCAGAGAGAUUGGUGUCUAGUAGAGGAAGAAACUUCUCAGGCUUCUCAGGAGUCAGGGUAAGUGAAUAAGCAAGAAACAAUCUUGGAUGGGAAAGUGGGGUAGGGUGAGAGAGUUGGGUGGGAACGUGGGUGGGAGAGUGGGGUGGGGGCACCUCUUCUACUCUGGGCUAAAUAAAGUCCUUCAGGAGUUUACAACUCCCCAGCCUAAAAAACAAAAUCUAGUUUCUCUUAAGCUAUGUGGACUGAGUGAUGUAAGGCUUGAGAGAAAGGGUUCAUCUGCUUAGGGGGCAGUGCCUUGUUUAUGUUCACAGAUGGGAUGAAAACAUAUAACAGAAGACUCAGGCCUCGCAUUUUGUCUGACUUUUUUUCUUGCAUUAAAAACUUAGGGUUAGGUUUAGAGUUAGAUUAGAUUUCUAGAAUGUUAGAAACUAGAAAACCAUUCCUUAAAGGUAAAUUUUUAUAAAGCCUUUAAAACAAAACAAAAUUCUUUAUGCAUAGUGGAAACCCUGUAAUAAUAUUUUAAAAGUUAAAAACUAGAAUAAAAUUGGGAUAGGAUAGCAUGCUUCCCUUUGAGAAACACCCUUCUUAGUGCAAAUUUAACUUACUUCGAUAUACUGACAACGGUUAAUAAUUGUGGAAUCUUUAUACCUUGUGUGGAUAAUCUCAUUAAAGUGCCAUCAUUUUAGUGAUGAAGAAAAUGAGGCUUAAAUAAAUGGCCCAACAUAGCAGUGGUAAAGUCAGUAUUCAAACUCCAGUUUAUUUCACUCCAAAACCCAGGAUUUUAACCUCUGAAGAUAGAGACUCUUCACAAUGACGAGCCCUCCAAAUUUGAUAGUCAUGUUGAUUAAAAAACCAUUCAAAGUUGCUAUUCACAACCUAGUGGAAGAAGCAGAUUUAUAAACAAAUACAUUGAUUAUAUUAAAGUUGUACAUAAAUAUCUAGGAGCUUAGAAGAAGGAGUGAUGAAUUUUGACUUCAGGGUAUGAGGAACGUUCCACAUAGAGUAUUUUGAGCAUUUUUAUGGUGUCUGUUUUGGGGGAGCAAUUGAUUCAUUCACCUGUGAAAAACUAAUAUCUAGAAAGGCAUUUCCUACCUUUGACUUAACCCUCUGUAAUAUAAGGAUAUUCAGUAAAUGUUCAUAAAGAAGGUUUAAUAGCUAGCACUGAUUCUAUGCUGGCUUAUGUUUUUAAGGGUUGUUGCCAAAUUGCCACCAGCAAGCAGGCUUGGGCCUCAUGGAGAGUGUGUGAUGCAUUGGCAGCUGUGGACCCACCGUGACUGGUUCACCUGGCAACAUGUAGUUCAAAUACUGGGAAGAUGGUCACAUGAACACAUGCAAGUUCCUUUUUACCACCAGUGCAAAUUUCUGUGUGUAUGUGUUUUUUACUUGCUACAGCAGGCUUUUAUUAACUUUGCAGUUUGGAAAACAUCAUAUCAUGAAAAUUUAAACAGAAAACCUCAAUGGAAGCAAUUUAAAAACAAUGCAGACUUGAAAUUGAAUGGGCAGUAAAGAAGGACAGAGGGUCAGAGCUGAGCCAAGACUUGUGGAAGAGCAAAUCCCAGGGGGAAGCAGCAGGUGGAGAGAGAGAGAAACACAGCGAUCAGGUUGAAGGAACAGAGCCUCAGCACUCAGGUGUCACCUGUGCUACCAAAAUACCAGCAGUAGCAAGCAUCCAUGUGCAGGAAGAAAAUGAUCCUAAAGCAAGUAGAUGUGCCAAAAAAGACCGAGGCCUGUGAAUGGAGAAGGGCUGUUGGGAUGGUGGAACUGGACACUGUUCCUUUGGUGUCACUGGUUGAGAAUUGUCCUCAGAGAGUGGUCACGAUAUUAUGCCCUCCCUGCAUCCUUUGUAACAUAUUUUCUAAUUUAUUUUUGUGUUCAGGGAAUACUCACCAAAUGUCUGUCCUGAACUUUGGUACUUCUCAUGGAUUUUACUAGUUUGACUUGUCAUUUUUAGUACAUGCUAUUGUCAUCUUCAUAAAACCCAUUUUAAGACUCUA